AUGCCUCCCGCCAUCGCGCUGCUGCUCGCGCAGCUGGUGCUGUGCGGGUGCCUCUCGCCGGCGGUGUCUGCCGCCGCCGUCGUCCCCAGGCGGGUGCUGCACCAGCCGCUGUUUCCCAUUGAGUGGACUCCGCCCCCGUCGCCGCCGCCUCCGCCCGCGCCGGACUUCACCUCCGACCCCAGCCCUCCCGUGGCCACGCCCGACGCCCCUCCCGUGGCGACGCCCGAUGCCCCUCCCGGCGACUUCUUCCCUCCCGCACCGCCGGUGUCCAGUGAUGGUGGUGGCGGCGGUACGGCUUCGUCCCCCCCGAACACCGUCACCGCCGACGUCUCCACCCCGCCCUCUCCCACCGCUGCCGGCCACGGCCCCAAGAAGGCGACCAUAGUGGCGGCCGGGGCGGCCGCCGCCGCCGGGGUCGCGCUGCUCGGCUUCGCCUGCGCGUUCCUCAUCACCGGCCGCGCCCGCCGCCGCUGCGACUCGCAGAAGCUGCUCGGCCCCGACGGCGGGCCGGCGCUCCGCCGCACGGCCCCCUCCGCCGCCGACUUCCUCUACGUCGGCACGGUGGAGCCCACCACGCCGGCGCACCAGCGCGGGCCCACCAGCGCCGAUCUCGCCGGCUCCCCGUACCGCAAGCUGCGGAACGAGCGCGCGCGCCGCGCGGUGUGCCGCGACGAGGCCACCGACCACCCGAGCCCGGAGCUCCGGCCGCUCCCGCCGCUGCGGCGCGCCACCACCAUGGGCUCCUCCGACGAGGACGCGUACUACACGCCGCGGCAGCGCUCGGGGGGCUCCGGCUCGGGCGCCGGCGGCGGGGCCGGCAGCGGCGUGUACGGCGAGACGUGGAGCGAGGCGAGCGCGUCCAGCCCGCCCACCACCACCACGGCUUCCCGCCGCAGCCUCCCCAGCAUGACCAGCGACUUCUUUCCCCCGGUCGCCGCCAUCGCCGCGCUCCCGCCGCCCCCACGGUCCCGCCGCACGCGCACGCCCCCGCGCACGCGCUUCUCCACUGGCUCCACCCCCGACGUCAAGCAGGCAAUCUCGCCAUCCCCGCGGCCGGUGCAACCCUCCAACCCACCUCCACGUCCACCACCACCACCUCCUCCUCCUCCACCACCACCGACAGCGCCGCCCAAGUCCAACGCAGCUCCAAGGCCCCCUCCUCCACCACCACCGCCACCGAUGGCGUCAACUAACAGCCUCCCCCCAAAGACGGGGGAGCCGACAUCCAGGCGCCGGUUGCUGAAGCCGCUGCCGCCGGAAGGGCCCCGCAUUGCCAUGCCGAUGCCGAUCACGGCGGCGGCAGCGGCGGAGAACAACGGGAGCACGUCGAUGCGGGCGGAGGACGACGCGGCCGGCGGCCUGCCGAAGCUGAAGCCGCUGCACUGGGACAAGGUGCGGGCGACCUCCGACCGCGCCAUGGUCUGGGACCAGCUCAAGUCAAGCUCAUUCCAGUUGGACGAGGACAUGAUCGAGGCGCUCUUCAUGAACAACUCCAUGCCCGCCGCGCCGCCGAGGGACACCGGGAGGAAGCCCGCCGCGCCGGCGUUCAGGCAGGAGGAGAGGGUGCUCGACCCCAAGAAAGCGCAGAACAUCGCCAUCUUGUUGCGCGCCUUGAAUGUCACGCGUGAGGAGGUCUCGGACGCGCUCCUGGACGGCAAUGCUGAAUGUUUAGGCAGUGAGCUUUUGGAAACGUUAGUCAAGAUGGCACCUACGAAAGAGGAGGAGGUCAAACUGCGGGAUUACAGUGGCGACCUAUCGAAGCUGGGAACCGCGGAACGCUUUCUCAAGACUGUGCUGGAUAUACCUUUCGCCUUCAAAAGAGUUGACGCUAUGCUGUACCGAGCCAAUUUCGAGACUGAGAUAAAUUACCUAAGGAAGUCUUUUGAAACGCUAGAGGCAGCUUGUGAAGAUCUUAGGGGUAGCAGGUUGUUCCUAAAACUCCUUGAAGCAGUGCUGAGGACCGGGAAUCGGAUGAAUGUCGGCACGAACCGGGGCGAGGCUAAGGCCUUUAAGCUUGACACCCUCCUCAAGCUCGCAGACGUCAAGGGAGCUGAUGGCAAAACCACGCUGCUGCACUUUGUUGUCCAAGAAAUGAUCCGAUCGGAAGACGCGAAAUCUGAAAAGGAAAACACCACGGCCACCAGCUCCAAAGAUAAAGGCCUGAAGGUUGUGUGCGGGCUGAGCAGCGAGCUCGGAAACGUCAAGAAGGCGGCUUCCAUGGACUUCGAUGUUCUGCACGGCUACGUCAGCAAGCUCGAGACGGGCCUCGAGAAGAUCAAGUCGGUGUUGCAGCUCGAGAGGCAGUGCACGCAGGGCCAGAGGUUCUUCAUCGCAAUGCAGGGCUUUCUGAAGGAGGCCGACAAGGAGAUCGAGAUAGUGAGAGGCGAGGAGAAGCGGGCUCUGGGGAGGGUGAAAGACAUCACCGACUACUUCCACGGGGACGCCGCGAAGGAGGAGGCGCACCCUCUGAGGAUAUUCAUGGUGGUGAGGGACUUCCUCUCGAUGUUGGAUCACGUCUGCAGGGAGGUUGGCCGGAUGCAGCAGGACAGAACCGUCGUCGGGUCGGCGAGGUCGUUCCGUGUCUCGACGACAGCCCCAUUGCCGGUCCUAAGUUUGUAUGGCCAACGGCGGCAGAACAACUCCGACGACGAUGAUGAUAGCAUGUCGUCGUAG
rnacentral:rRNA from 1 species